rnacentral:rRNA from 1 species
GUGUGACUGCGUACCUUUUGUAUAAUGGGUCAGCGACUUAUAUUCUGUAGCAAGGUUAACCGAAUAGGGGAGCCGGAGGGAAACCGAGUCUUAAUUGGGCGUUAAGUUGCAGGGUAUAGACCCGAAACCCGGUGAUCUAGCCAUGGGCAGGUUGAAGGUUGGGUAACACUAACUGGAGGACCGAACCGACUAAUGUUGAAAAAUUAGCGGAUGACCUGUGGCUGGGGGUGAAAGGCCAAUCAAACCGGGAGAUAGCUGGUUCUCCCCGAAAGCUAUUUAGGUAGCGCCUCGUGAAUUCAUCUCCGGGGGUAGAGCACUGUUUCGGCUAGGGGGCCAUCCCGGCUUACCAACCCGAUGCAAACUGCGAAUACCGGAGAAUGUUAUCACGGGAGACACACGGCGGGUGCUAACGUCCGUCGUGAAGAGGGAAACAACCCAGACCGCCAGCUAAGGUCCCAAAGUCAUGGUUAAGUGGGAAACGAUGUGGGAAGGCCCAGACAGCCAGGAUGUUGGCUUAGAAGCAGCCAUCAUUUAAAGAAAGCGUAAUAGCUCACUGGUCGAGUCGGCCUGCGCGGAAGAUGUAACGGGGCUAAACCAUGCACCGAAGCUGCGGCAGCGACACUCAGGUGUUGUUGGGUAGGGGAGCGUUCUGUAAGCCUGUGAAGGUGGCCUGUGAGGGUUGCUGGAGGUAUCAGAAGUGCGAAUGCUGACAUAAGUAACGAUAAAGCGGGUGAAAAGCCCGCUCGCCGGAAGACCAAGGGUUCCUGUCCAACGUUAAUCGGGGCAGGGUGAGUCGACCCCUAAGGCGAGGCCGAAAGGCGUAGUCGAUGGGAAACGGGUUAAUAUUCCCGUACUUGGUGUUACUGCGAAGGGGGGACGGAGAAGGCUAUGUUGGCCGGGCGACGGUUGUCCCGGUUUAAGCGUGUAGGUGUGUGUUCCAGGUAAAUCCGGUUCACUUUAACACUGAGGCGUGACGACGAGGCACUACGGUGCUGAAGCAACAAAUGCCCUGCUUCCAGGAAAAGCCUCUAAGCAUCAGGUAACAUCAAAUCGUACCCCAAACCGACACAGGUGGUCAGGUAGAGAAUACCAAGGCGCUUGAGAGAACUCGGGUGAAGGAACUAGGCAAAAUGGUGCCGUAACUUCGGGAGAAGGCACGCUGACAUGUAGGUGAAGUGAUUUACUCAUGGAGCUGAAGUCAGUCGAAGAUACCAGCUGGCUGCAACUGUUUAUUAAAAACACAGCACUGUGCAAACACGAAAGUGGACGUAUACGGUGUGACGCCUGCCCGGUGCCGGAAGGUUAAUUGAUGGGGUCAGCGCAAGCGAAGCUCCUGAUCGAAGCCCCGGUAAACGGCGGCCGUAACUAUAACGGUCCUAAGGUAGCGAAAUUCCUUGUCGGGUAAGUUCCGACCUGCACGAAUGGCGUAAUGAUGGCCAGGCUGUCUCCACCCGAGACUCAGUGAAAUUGAACUCGCUGUGAAGAUGCAGUGUACCCGCGGCAAGACGGAAAGACCCCGUGAACCUUUACUAUAGCUUGACACUGAACAUUGAGCCUUGAUGUGUAGGAUAGGUGGGAGGCUUUGAAGUGUGGACGCCAGUCUGCAUGGAGCCGACCUUGAAAUACCACCCUUUAAUGUUUGAUGUUCUAACGUGGACCCGUGAUCCGGGUUGCGGACAGUGUCUGGUGGGUAGUUUGACUGGGGCGGUCUCCUCCUAAAGAGUAACGGAGGAGCACGAAGGUUGGCUAAUCCUGGUCGGACAUCAGGAGGUUAGUGCAAUGGCAUAAGCCAGCUUGACUGCGAGCGUGACGGCGCGAGCAGGUGCGAAAGCAGGUCAUAGUGAUCCGGUGGUUCUGAAUGGAAGGGCCAUCGCUCAACGGAUAAAAGGUACUCCGGGGAUAACAGGCUGAUACCGCCCAAGAGUUCAUAUCGACGGCGGUGUUUGGCACCUCGAUGUCGGCUCAUCACAUCCUGGGGCUGAAGUAGGUCCCAAGGGUAUGGCUGUUCGCCAUUUAAAGUGGUACGCGAGCUGGGUUUAGAACGUCGUGAGACAGUUCGGUCCCUAUCUGCCGUGGGCGCUGGAGAACUGAGGGGGGCUGCUCCUAGUACGAGAGGACCGGAGUGGACGCAUCACUGGUGUUCGGGUUGUCAUGCCAAUGGCACUGCCCGGUAGCUAAAUGCGGAAGAGAUAAGUGCUGAAAGCAUCUAAGCACGAAACUUGCCCCGAGAUGAGUUCUCCCUGAGACUUUAGGUCUCCUGAAGGAACGUUGAAGACGACGACGUUGAUAGGCCGGGUGUGUAAGCGCAGCGAUGCGUUGAGCUAACCGGUACUAAUGAACCGUGAGGCUUAACCUUAC